ensembl:lncRNA
AAAGAGUGUCAUGCAGAGUACUGCCUGCAUGGUAAAGUAGUGUUGAGAGUCCCAGUUUUGUUAUUGACUUUUACUGUAUAAAUCUGGCUUUCCUUUGAGUUGAUGGAUGGGUGUCUAGCUUAUCUUUUCCUAAUUGAUUGUAUUCUGGCCAUUCAUUAAAAAGACAAAAGUAUUUCUUAUCCAAUUACUUGAUUAAUCGAUGAAAUAAUCAAUAUAUUACUCAAUUACUAAAAUAAUCAAUAGUUGUUUUAUAAAAUCAAGAAAUACACCUAACUGAAAUGCAUGGUUUUUCUCAGGAUUCAGAUAAUAUUAAAAGCCUUUAUUGCUCAUGUUGUGUCAAAAUUCAACACAACUGAGCUUAAGUCUCCUAAUUCCCUGUUUGAGUACAGAGAAUUUAUGACGUCUUUGUGCAAAAGAGACAGAAAAUACUUCCAUUUGUUUUUUUGUUUUUGUUUUUUUGCAUGUCCCGUUUGGUUCUUUUGCCAUCAGAAUUAUUGUCUAAAGGCGAAAAAAGAUGCCCAACGGAUUUACUUUACCAAAUUGACCAUCCCAGCCUUGCCGUAAUGGUCUAUUUGAUUUACCUUUUAUUGUUUAUUUUAUUUAUUUUUUAUUUUCACUUGCUAGAUACGGGACAGACUUGAAGAAGGGGACAGAGCGGGGGAUACUGAAUACUUCCAUUUGUUAGGAGACCUGGGUCAUCGACCAAGAGUUUUGAGUUUACAUUAUUAUUGAACUUUUAUUUUGAUAUUAUUCGUCAUCUCUAGUCUUUUAAGCCGUGUAUUUUCCUCUGUCCGUGUUGUGAUCUACCAUCUACCAUGCUGUGUGUUUUCCCUUUCAACUGGUUUGUUGUUUAUUUUAUGUUCUCAGUUCAGUUAGAUUUCUGUUUUCUAACAUCCAGCAAUAAAGCUGAGAUUUUUGAGUUAACGUUUGCCUCCAAGUGUCUGCGCAUUGGGCCCUCCUUACCACCACUCCUGCCUGCACAUCAGCCUUCAUAUAACACUAUUAGUAAACGCUUCAGUUUUCUGUGUAUAUGUCCUAUUAGGCUUGAACACCUAUUUUUCUUUUCUUUUUUGAAUUGGCACCAUUUUUCUUACACAACACAGCAACAAUGCAACCAUGUUGUGAUUUGUUACAGUUUUGGAAAUAAAAAACACCUGGAAUUAUAGAAAGCAAAAAUCUCAAACUUGUUAAAAACAACGUCACUAA